CAGUAGCCACGGUAAAACGGAGGGUGCAAGCGUUAAUCGGAAUUACUGGGCGUAAAGCGUGCGUAGGCGGUUCGUUAAGUCUGCUGUGAAAGCCCCGGGCUCAACCUGGGAAUGGCAGUGGAUACUGGCGAGCUAGAGUGUGUCAGAGGAUGGUGGAAUUCCCGGUGUAGCGGUGAAAUGCGUAGAGAUCUGGAGGAAUACCGAUGGCGAAGGCAGCCAUCUGGCCUAAUACUGACGCUGAGGUACGAAAGCAUGGGGAGCAAACAGGAUUAGAUACCCCAGUAGUCCCUGUCUCUUAUAC
rnacentral:rRNA from 1 species